UUUCUUUUCUUCUUUCUUUCUACUUUCCUCUUCCUCAUUCUCUCUUCUCUUGUUUUCCUCAGCUUCAUUGAUUUUAUCCAUUUCCAGAUUUUCACUUAGAGCUUCCGCCACAACAGUCAACUCUUCCACAUUUACCUCUUCAAACAAAUCUCCAAACCCUUCUUCAAUGAUCUCAGCAAUGAACGCUUGUGAAACAAUAGUAGUAGUUAUUUCUUCCAUUACAAUCCCCCAGUCGUGUGGUUCAGUAAUGGCUUGAAGGGGUUGAACAACUAAAGCGUUAUGAGGAGUAGGAGUGAGGUUAUCAGAUGAGGUAGUUGUAGAAGUGGUAGAAGUUGUAUUGGAUGGUGUUGGAUUGUUGUUGGAUCUUGCUGAGCUUCCUUGACCAUUGCUGCCUUCUCUAUUCUAUCUUUCUCUCUUUGGUUUUCAGCAUUCUCUUGCGGAAUAACCAUAGAUGCCACAGUUGUAGCAUGUAACACCCCGAAAACGGGUUUGGUAAUCAAACCACGUUAACAUUUAUGAACGGACAACAUGGGGCGACGAACAAGGUUCUUCAAGCUAACCCUAAUCUACAAAAUUUCUCAAAUUGAAGGUCCAAAUCAAUCCCAAAUCAAAAUCUGAGCACGAAUUAGUGAUCUCCACUGAAAAAGGAGUCACAAGUUUGGCGCUUAACAAGCUAGGUGGAAGCUUGUGGAUAAAGUGGGUCAAACGGAGCGAGUAUGGAAAGAAAAGUGUGGUAUGGAUGCAAGGUAAAUUUCUAGUACCGGAGGACGAUCAAGCUCAAUGAAGAACCGAACACGAUCAAGAAACAAGCUUCCGCAUGACGUCUCGUUGUUACUUUUAAAUGACGAACUUAUUUACAUUAUGUUGUAAACUUUUAAAUUGUAAAAGGUUUUAAUAAACCCGUAUUUCCGAUGUAUAUGUAAACUUAAUACAUGAUCCUUU
rnacentral:lncRNA from 1 species